rnacentral:rRNA from 1 species
AGAGUUUGAUCCUGGCUCAGAUUGAACGCUGGCGGCAUGCCUUACACAUGCAAGUCGAACGGCAGCACGGGAGCUUGCUCCUGGUGGCGAGUGGCGAACGGGUGAGUAAUGCAUCGGAACGUGCCCUGAAGUGGGGGAUAACGUAGCGAAAGUUACGCUAAUACCGCAUAUUCUGUGAGCAGGAAAGCAGGGGGAUCUUCGGACCUUGCGCUUUUGGAGCGGCCGAUGUCGGAUUAGCUAGUUGGUGGGGUAAAGGCCCACCAAGGCGACGAUCCGUAGCGGGUCUGAGAGGAUGAUCCGCCACACUGGAACUGAGACACGGUCCAGACUCCUACGGGAGGCAGCAGUGGGGAAUUUUGGACAAUGGGCGCAAGCCUGAUCCAGCCAUGCCGCGUGAGUGAAGAAGGCCUUCGGGUUGUAAAGCUCUUUCGGUGGGGAAGAAAUUGCUUGGGUUAAUACCCUGAGUAGAUGACGGUACCCGCAUAAGAAGCACCGGCUAACUACGUG